AAUGAACGUUGGCGGCGUGGAUUAGGCAUGCAAGUCGAGCGCGAACCCUUCGGGGUGAAAGCGGCGAAAGGGAGAGUAAUACAUAGAUAUCUGCCUCAGGGUCUGGGAUAGCAGCGGGAAACUGCUGGUAAUACCAGAUGAUAUCUCCGGAUCAAAGGUGUGAUUCCGCCCUGAGAUAAGUCUGUGUCCUAUUAGCUAGUUGGUAGGGUAAUGGCCUACCAAGGCGAAGAUGGGUAGCGGGUGUGAGAGCACGACCCGCCUCACUGGGACUGAGACACUGCCCAGACACCUACGGGUGGCUGCAGUCGAGAAUCUUCGGCAAUGGGCGAAAGCCUGACCGAGCAACGCCGCGUGCGGGAUGAAGGCCUUCGGGUUGUAAACCGCUGUCAGUGGGAAACAAAUCCAUAGGGGUACUCCCCUAUGGUCGAGUGCUCCGCAGAGGAAGCACGGGCUAAGUUCGUGCCAGCCGCCGCCGUAAUAC
rnacentral:rRNA from 1 species